rnacentral:rRNA from 1 species
UACAGAGGUGGCAAGCGUUGUUCGGAAUUACUGGGCGUAAAGGGCGCGUAGGCGGUCACUACAAGUCAGUUGUGAAAUCUCUGGGCUUAACUCAGAACGGUCAACUGAUACUGUUGGACUAGAGUGCAGAAGGGGCAACUGGAAUUCUCGGUGUAGCGGUGAAAUGCGUAGAUAUCGAGAGGAACACCUGCGGCGAAGGCGGGUUGCUGGGCUGACACUGACGCUGAGGCGCGAAAGCUAGGGGAGCGAACGGG